CACAACCUGGAAAUUUUCAUUCGGUUGAGGCACAUCAUCACAAGAGAGCCCAAUCACACACUCAAAGCAGCAAAAUAAAUAUGAAAAUUUGUCAACUGCACCACCCUUGUACAACUGCUCAUCUCAAUCUAACAAUCUAACAUCACAUGACCAGUUUUAAAGUGCAAUGUUAAGCAUCCCAUAUCAAUGACCAGAAAAAUCCACUGAGGGAUAAGGUAAAAGACAUUACUAAGCUAAGGAAAACAAUCAAUAAUCGUAUCAUUAAGUUUGUAAGUCCUUAUUUUAAUUCAACCAGAGCAAUUGGAACAAUCCACCAAUUCAAUCAAAGUGAACUAAUUAGGGCAAUUAACUUCCAACCCCAUCAGAUCUAUGAUCACCAAUAGACAGUUGUGAGGGAAAAGAGAAACGCCGACACCGUUCGGGAAGAUUUGGUAAAAAAGAUUAUUUAUAUGCUGCUGUGGUUUGAAAGUUAUUGAUGGAUUGAGAACUAUAUGCAGAUUGUUGGAUUUGGGUAAAGGUUUUCAUGAAACAAGUAUAUUCACAAAUUCAAUGUUAAUGUUGUGUUCAACCAAAAUGGUUCUGAAUUGUUGAGCUUUUGUGUUUUCACAGGUUGCUUUUGUUUUUUUUUUUUUUGAAUGACAAGGAACGAUGUGCCAACCACUGUGAGACCGGGUGUUGUGGCCAAGGUCGACUAAUCGACUGCCGCCAACCCCUUGGUUCUCACAAAUACGCGGAAACCCGACCUCCACCCGCCCAAAGGCACGACAGUGGAGUAAUUGGUAAAACCUCGCCUCAACCGGCGCCACCUGUAUUCACCUUUCACCUGGAUGUCGCAGAAAAUAAUGUGGAGAGUGGGAGUCGAACCUGGGUCAUAAGGAACACAAAGUCUUUCCCCAACCACUCCACCACUACCUCAUUGGCACAGUUUGCUUUUGUUGAUUGGUGGUUACAACUUCAAGAAAUGGAGCAUGCGUAACUAGGAAUUUACAAAUGAACAAGCAUUAAGAGAUAUCAAAACAGGGGAAAAGGGAGUUUACAAAUGAAGCUUUGUUAGUUAUUGGCUUGCAUACAACAUAAAAAAUGUUGUGACUUUGUUGGGGUAUUGCGCUUUCCCUAAGAAGAUUUUGGUGUAUGAAUAUGUCGACGAGAGUCUCGAUCAUAUCAUUCAUAAAGAUAUAAAAGCAAAUAAUCAUCUGUUAGAUAGUAAAUGAAGACCCAAGAUUGCGAACUUUGGCAUGGCCCGACACUACCCUAAAGAUAAAACUCAUGUCAACAUCCGUGUAGCCGGUACCAAAGCUUGUCUUUGCCUGAAAAGAAAUGGAGGGGUGUAAAGUGGUGGUGUAUGCUCUUCACUUAGUCUGUUCUAACGAUAUCACCGCUAAUGUUGACUCUGUGACAAGGUAAUAAAAGAAUUGAACCUUAAAACAAAGAUUGGAAGGGGCUUUUGACUAAUGAAAUCUUCAAAAGAAAAGACGCCAUUGCUAUUUAGGUAUAUAUAUAUUUUUGGACAAUAUUUUCUUAAUAUUGUUGGGAGACUAUUGCAAGAACAAAUGAUGAAGUACAAGCUUAUAGAUGAUGAGGCAAUACAAAUACAUGACAAAAAGGUAGAUGAUGCUUUCACAUAUAUGAUUCCGGAGAGGCUGAUGGAGUCAUUUAAAGAAAAUGUUGAAGUAGAGAAAAACUAGUUACUAGAAAUGCGUAAGAAGAUUUAAGGGGAUGACGAAAGAAAAAGCCGAAUUCGGAGCUAUGUAAAAAGAUACUGGCAACCAUCGACAAAACUUGGAAGCUAUGAUGCAAAAUGUUAUCAAACAACUAGGUGAAGGUCGAGAUGAGUAGAAUGUUUUCAUUUUUCUAAAUUAUUGUAAUUGACACUUUGUGUUGACUAUAUUAUUAUUUGAGUUUGGACAAAUAUGGUAAAUUACACUAUUUGGCUGCCAAUGAGAUCUUUGUUUUUAUUGUU